UCGAGCGACAUGGCAUGGAUAAUAAUCGGGCAUAAGCAUACUACCGAAGCUAUGGAUUUAUGGUAGGGGAGCAUUCUAUGGGCGUUGAAUGUGUGGCGUGAGCCAUGCUGGAGCGCAUAGAAAAGCAAAUGUAGGCAUAAGUAACGAUAAGGCAGGUGAGAAACCUGCCCGCCGAAAGACCAAGGUUUCCUCAGCUAUGCUAAUCAGCUGAGGGU
rnacentral:rRNA from 11 species